rnacentral:rRNA from 1 species
CCUACGGGAGGCAGCAGUGGGGAAUAUUGCACAAUGGGCGCAAGCCUGAUGCAGCGACGCCGCGUGAGGGAUGACGGCCUUCGGGUUGUAAACCUCUUUCAGUAGGGAAGAAGCGAAAGUGACGGUACCUGCAGAAGAAGCGCCGGCUAACUACGUGCCAGCAGCCGCGGUAAUACGUAGGGCGCAAGCGUUAUCCGGAAUUAUUGGGCGUAAAGAGCUCGUAGGCGGUUUGUCGCGUCUGCUGUGAAAGACCGGGGCUCAACUCCGGUUCUGCAGUGGGUACGGGCAGACUAGAGUGCAGUAGGGGAGACUGGAAUUCCUGGUGUAGCGGUGAAAUGCGCAGAUAUCAGGAGGAACACCGAUGGCGAAGGCAGGUCUCUGGGCUGUAACUGACGCUGAGGAGCGAAAGCAUGGGGAGCGAACAGGAUUAGAUACCCUGGUAGUCCAUGCCGUAAACGUUGGGCACUAGGUGUGGGGGACAUUCCACGUUUUCCGCGCCGUAGCUAACGCAUUAAGUGCCCCGCCUGGGGAGUACGGCCGCAAGGCUAAAACUCAAAGGAAUUGACGG